CUUAUCUAUGACAUCGUAUAGGAAGCUUAUGGUAGAUGCUUCGUCGGUUUCAACAAGACGGAGUACCCUCAUUAGUGGCUCCAUCACCUUUAGGAUGACUUAACCCUCUUUCAAUAUUUGUUGUCCCGUAUGGUGUUCGCAACUUCAAUCGGUGUCCCUGAUGUCGUCUUCCUAUGUUUUGUGUUGAGCCAUUCUCGGGAAGCGAAUAUCUCACUCAACUCUCCCCUAUGUUGGAAUAAACUCUCUAAUGCUAUAAAGUUUGUUGCGAAUCUAGUCGCCGCAGGCUUCAACAACUCUCGUCCUUUCGUGAAUUUUCUCAUUAUUGUGACUAUUUGAUUAUGAUUGUAAAUAAACGUCGUCACUUCUCUUGCCUUUUCGACUAUUUCCUUAACAUUCUUCUUCUUCCCAAUAUCUUCCAAUAUAAGAUCAAUACAAUGGGCAGCACAUGGUGACUAAAAAAGAUGUUUUCUCUUAUUCAUCAACAAAUGUCCUGCAUGCUUAUAUGAUGCUUCAUUAUCUGUCACAAUCUACACUACAUUCUCCUCUCCAAUCUCUUCCACAACUUUAUCCAUUAGUCCAGUAAUAUAAUUAGAAUCUUUUGUUAUCUCUGAGGCAUCAAUUAACUUAUGGUAUAUAGUUCCUAAGUGGCAGUACACCAUGAAGUUGAUCAUGCUGCAUCUAGUUGGGACAGUCCAACCAUCACACAUGAUCGUGCAUCCUCUGGCUUGCCAUACAGGUUUAAAGGUAGCCACUUAUGCUUUCACAUCCGUAUACUCUGCAUCUGUCCAUUUCCCCCUAAUCUCCUUAGCCGUGGGAGCUUUUAUUCCUUCACCUGCUUUUGUUGCUGCAUCAAUUACCACCUGCCAAUAUGGAGAAUUGGCCGCGUUAGGAGGUAUGUUGGCAUGUAUAAAUAACUUUGCUGCUGCUCUACCUAAUUUCUCAACGGAAGUUCUACUCCACAUUUGUUUUGUCUUCUUUUGUUUAGUUGAUUCUUUCCUAAACAGGAUUGGAUCAAUAGAGGGUCUCCUAGGCUCAUUUACUUCUUCAUCCAAACGUAUAGAGGCAUCACAUGAAGUCUGUUGUCGGCUCCUAAACACACGUCGUAACCCACCAAACCUACCCCCCCUGCAGAAGCAGUUGCACUUCCAGUCCCAGUCCCACUCCCACUGCCCCUCCUGUAUCACGCACUGACCCAUGUGUGUCAUACAUGCGGCGACGUUCUUCCUAUUCAUGAGCUAGACGCAAGCUCUCUCUCCUAGCUAUAGUUAAGUCCCGAUCUGAAUCUUCGUUAGAAUCAACAAUAUCUUCAUCACGAACGCCCAUAUAUUCAGGACCAAACACGUUCUGUCGAGCUGCAUCCAAAACAUCAUCUUUCUUCUUUUGUAUAGCAACACGUUUACCCUUCGACUCAUCCAGAUUAGCUUGCAUUAAAAGCAUUAUCUCUUUCAGUACUCUAAUACAUACCACAACUUGGCCCUUUUGAUGUGUCAAAUGUUGUUUGAGACGGGUAAUUCCACCAAUUACUAUUCUAUCACAAUACUUGCACCUCAUUUGGUGCCUAGUACCAUCAACCCUCUCACAAUGUUGCCAUCUAAUAUCCUCACUCACUUGUUGUUGGCCAGACCCAGACAUUUCUUUAAGUUUAGUAUGAGUGUAUGAGUGUAUGACUUAUGUCAAUAAAGAUGAUUUUAUGUUCUAACUAAACCCUAAGAAGCUCCAAAACCUGUCCAAUAUAAGCAAAUAAAAACAUAAAGUCACUAAUUCAAAAAUAGAAAUAAAUUAUAAAAUGACACCACAAAUCUAUAAAAUGCACAUUAACAUGUUCUACCAUGAUUAACACAUCAAAUUCUAUGAUUAAAUCAGCAAACUAUUUAUUAAAAAAAUGAUUUUUCGAAUUUUUUUAGAAAAGGGCCAAAAUUAAUGCGUAAAUAGAAAAAAAUAUAAAAUGACACCCUAAAUCUGUAAAAUGCACAUUAACAUGUUCAACUAUGAUUAACACAUCAUAUGACAUGGUUAAAACAACAAAACAAUCAUUAAAAAAUGAUUUUUCGAAUUAAAAAAAAAAGGGCCAAAAUUAAUGCGUAAAUAGAAAAAAAUAUAAAAUGACACCCCAAAUUUGUAAAAUGCACAUUAACAUGUUCAGCUAUGAUUAACACAUCACAUAACAUGAUUAAAACAACAAAACAAUCAUUAAAAAAUGAUUUUUCGAAUUUAAAAAAAGGGCCAAAAUUAAUGCGUAAAUAGAAAAAAAUAUAAAAAUAUAAAAAAAAAAAAAAAAAUGACACCCCAAAUCUGUAAAAUGCACAUUAACAUGUUCAACUAUGAUUAACACAUCACAUGGCAUGAUCAAAACAAUAAAACAGUCAUUAAAAAAUGAAUUUUUGAAUUUUUAACAAAAGGGCCAAAAUUAGUGCGUAAAUAGAAAAAAUAUAAAAAUAUAUAAAAUGGCACCCCAAAUCUGUAAAAUGCACAGUAACAUGUUCAACUAUGAUUAACACAUCACAUAGCAUGAUUAAAACAGCAAAACAAUCAUUAAAAAAUGAUUUUUCGAAUUUUUAAAAAAUUGGCUAAAAUUAAUGCGUAAAUAGAAAAAAAUAUAAAAAAAAUAUAAAAUGACACCCUAAAUCUGUAAAAUGCACAUUAACAUGUUCAACUAUGAUUAACACAUCACAUGACAUGAUUAAAACAGUAAAACAAUCAUUAAAAAAUGAUUUUUCGAAUUUUAAAAAAAUGGCCAAAAUUAAUGCGUAAAUAGAAAAAAAUAUAAAAAUAUAUAAAAUGGCACCCCAAAUCUGUAAAAUGCACAUUAACAUGUUCUACUAUGAUUAACACAUCACAUGGCAUGAUUAAAACAGCAAAACAAUCAUUAAAAAAUGAUUUUAUGAAUU